AACGAACGCUGGCGGCAUGCCUAACACAUGCAAGUCGAACGAGACCUUCGGGUCUAGUGGCGCACGGGUGCGUAACGCGUGGGAAUCUGCCCUCUGGUUCGGAACAACAGUUGGAAACGACUGCUAAUACCGGAUAAUGACUUCGGUCCAAAGAUUUAUCGCCUGAGGAUGAGCCCGCGUAGGAUUAGCUUGUUGGUGAGGUAAAAGCUCACCAAGGCGACGAUCCUUAGCUGGUCUGAGAGGAUGAUCAGCCACACUGGGACUGAGACACGGCCCAGACUCCUACGGGAGGCAGCAGUGGGGAAUAUCGGACAAUGGGCGAAAGCCUGAUCCAGCAAUGCCGCGUGAGUGAUGAAGGCCUUAGGGUUGUAAAGCUCUUUUACCCGGGAUGAUAAUGACAGUACCGGGAGAAUAAGCCCCGGCUAACUCCGUGCCAGCAGCCGCAGUAA
rnacentral:rRNA from 1 species